rnacentral:rRNA from 1 species
CAGUCGCCACGGUAAUACGGAGGGUGCAAGCGUUAUCCGGAUUCACUGGGUUUAAAGGGUGCGUAGGCGGACUUGUAAGUCAGUGGUGAAAUCUCUAGGCUUAACCUAGAAACUGCCAUUGAUACUAUAGGUCUUGAAUGUUGUGGAGGUUAGCGGAAUAUGUCAUGUAGCGGUGAAAUGCAUAGAUAUGACAUAGAACACCAAUUGCGAAGGCAGCUGGCUACACAAAUAUUGACGCUGAGGCACGAAAGCGUGGGGAUCAAACAGGAUUAGAGACCCCCGUAGUCCCUGUCUCUUAUAC